GGAUGAGAGUGUAAUCUGGCUGCAACAUCUGUCAACCUAUUGAUUGACAGGGUUGACUCAACUUACCUGGCUGGCUAGACCAGUUUCCUCUUCCUCCCUCAUUACUCAUGUCAGACUUCCUAAAACGGCAUGCCCAGUUGAAGAGGAUGACCUUCCCUGAUGAAGGAGGACCAUUCUUUUGUUGAGUAUAUAAAAGUAGCCAGGCUCCCCUGCAAGCCCUUCUAACAAGCUCUGGAGGUCCAUUUAUAGGAGAAGAUAGAGUGGUCAAGCUUCCAGGAUUCCAGACACAUCCAAAUGAGACGCUGCACAUGGCAGUCUUUUCU
rfam:Ictidomys tridecemlineatus contig069729, whole genome shotgun sequence.